rfam:Schistosoma curassoni strain Dakar, Senegal genome assembly, scaffold: SCTD_scaffold0007679
AUCCAGCUGACGAGUCCCAAAUAGGACGAAACAUGAGUCCUCCAU